rnacentral:pre_miRNA from 1 species
GGAAUACUCCCCCGUCCCAAAAUUCUUGUCUUAGAUUUGCCUAGAUACGGAUGUAUCUAGUACUAAAAUGUGACUUGAUACAUCUGUAUUUAGACAAAUCUAAGACAAGAAUUUUGGGACGGAGGGAGUACUUA